rnacentral:rRNA from 2 species
UACAGAGGGUGCAAGCGUUGCUCGGAAUCAUUGGGCGUAAAGGGCAAGUAGGUGGUCUCAUUUGUCUUGUGUGAAAUCCUUGGGCUUAACUCAAGAAGUGCGCAAGAAACGGUGAGACUCGAGUUCCGGAGAGGUGGGUGGAAUUCCCGGUGUAGCGGUGAAAUGCGUAGAGAUCGGGAGGAACACCAGAGGCGAAGGCGGCCCACUGGACGGACACUGACACUCAACUGCGAAAGCGUGGGGAGCAAACAGG